UACGUAGGGUGCGAGCGUUAAUCGGAAUUACUGGGCGUAAAGUGUGCGCAGGCGGCGAUCUACGUCUGGGGUGAAAGCCCGGAGCUCAACUCCGGGACUGCCUUGGAUACGGGAUCGCUUGAGGAUUGGAGAGGCAAGGGGAAUUCCACGUGUAGCGGUGAAAUGCGUAGAGAUGUGGAGGAACACCUGUGGCGAAGGCGCCUUGCUGGCCAAUUACUGACGCUGAGGCGCGAAAGCGUGGGGAGCAAACAGG
rnacentral:rRNA from 1 species